GGAAUAUUGGACAAUGGGCGAAAGCCUGAUCCAGCAAUGCCGCGUGAGUGAUGAAGGCCUUAGGGUUGUAAAGCUCUUUUACCCGGGAUGAUAAUGACAGUACCGGGAGAAUAAGCUCCGGCUCACUCCGUGCCAGCAGCCGCGGUAAUACGGAGGGAGCUAGCGUUGUUCGGAAUUACUGGGCGUAAAGGGCGCGUAGGCGGCCUUCUAAGUCGAACGUGAAAUCCCCGGGCUCAACCCGGGAACUGCGUCCGAUACUGGAAGGCUUGAAUCCGGGAGAGGGAUGCGGAAUUCCAGGUGUAGCGGUGAAAUGCGUAGAUAUCUGGAGGAACACCGGUGGCGAAGGCGGCAUCCUGGACCGGUAUUGACGCUGAUGCGCGAAAGCCAGGGGAGCAAAC
rnacentral:rRNA from 1 species